GCUGCUGCCACCACUGAACAUAAAAUGGAAAUGCGAAAUCAUGGAAAUGUGAAGACUUGUUUCAUUUUUGCGAUUAAAAUAGACAACUGAAAAAGACCUGAUUUUAAAACUCCACGGCUUGAGGCAUUUGAGUUUAAGAAACAGUCAGGUACAGAAGUAGUUUUGUUUUUUUUAAAGCAAAACAUUGGGAUUGGCUUUAGAAAUAAGUGGUCCUCAUUCUUGUCUUUUGCUGAAAAACACUGAGACAGGGUACCCCUAUCAGGCUUUUACACUCCCGUCUUUUGCUGAAAAAGACUGAGACAGGGUACCCCUAUCAGGCUUUUACACUCCCG
rnacentral:lncRNA from 1 species